AUGUAUGACUGUGUGGGCGCGCGCGCGCGCGCGCCCGUGUUGCGGGGGUUGAGAGUAAGUCAGCUUCCAGGCGAUCUGCUGUGUGGUGACUAUGCCUGCUCAAGCGAAACCCCCCUCUCUCUAGUGUUGCUUUGCUACAUAGCGCAGAUUUUCGUCUUUCUUUUGGCGCGCCCGUGCCUACUGGAGGUCUGGCAUAAGCAGGAUUCUAGGACUGACAGUGAGGAAGAGAGAAUGGACAUGGGUAAGGGUGGUUUUUGUUAUUUUGGACUAGAUGUGUGAAUUCAUCAUCAUCAAGAGCUCCUAUAAAAAACUCUUUCUAUCAGUGGAGGUCAGCACAUGCUCUACCAUUUACAGGGCUUAUAGGAAUUAAGUGACUUGAUUAGGAUCAAUGAUCCAGCUAUUAUGUGUCAGUGACAGACUUGAACUCAAGUCUUUCUAACUCUGGGGUAAAUACACCAUUUAUUAUAACAUGCUGUCACUCAGAAAGGUUAUUAGCAAGUGGCAAUUGACUCACCAUGAUAUCAAGUCUGCCAAGUUUCAUUUUGUAAAAAGCAUAAACUCAGGAGCUUGUCCUUUUGUUUACACUUGAGUAUUUGAUUAUGGUAUGGUUUUAGAUAGGUAUAACAUUCAAAAGAAAGAGAAUAAGUGAUGAGGAAAGGGUAACAUCAUCUAUUAAGGAUAUAUAAGGAAAUCCAACAACCAGAGGGAAAUAUAUGAUAGACAAUUUUGUGUGGACAUCAAAGGACAGAAAAUCCGAAGUGAUUCUUGGCUUUGAGAAUCCUAUACAUCACUUGGGGUGCAGGGAGAUGAAAUAGAAGAAGAAUGUAGAGAACAGACCCCAAGCCUGGCAGAGAAACAUGAUAUUAUAGUGAUGGAGAACUUCACUAUCCAUAUAUCUCUUGAAACUCUCUUUUUGACAAAAGCAAACUAAUAACUUCUUGAUUGAAGCAUAGCGCUGGGGGCACAGGUUGUUAUUUAGUCAUUUUUUUCAGUUUUGCAUGAUCAUGACUCUUUGGGGGAUAUUUUUAGCAGAGAUAUUGCAGGGGUUUGCCAUUUCUUUCUCCAGCUAAUUUUUAAAAUGAAGAAACAGGAUACAACAAGAUUAAAUGACUUACCUAAGAUCACAUAGCAACCAAGUGUCUGAGGCUGGAUUUGAAUUUAGAUUAUUCUGACUCUAGGUCUGGCACUCUAUCCACUGUGCCACCUAGCUACCCCAUAAUAAGUGGGCACAUAGUAUUUGUUUAAGAAAUACUGGUUCACUUGACUUAUCUGGUCUUAGUGAUAAUUUCAUCCUUUAAAAGGUGUAGGGACCAAUAAAAGGAAGUUCUAUCUUGAAUCUGAUUCUCA
rnacentral:lncRNA from 1 species